UACGGAGGGUGCAAGCGUUGCUCGGAAUUAUUGGGCGUAAAGGGUAGGUAGGUGGUCUCAUUUGUCUGGGGUGAAAGCCUUGAGCUUAACUCAAGAAGUGCCCCAGAAACGGUGAGACUAGAGUCCUGGAGAGGGUCGUGGAAUUCCCGGUGUAGCGGUGAAAUGCGUAGAGAUCGGGAGGAACACCAGAGGCGAAGGCGGCGGCCUGGACAGGCACUGACACUCAACUACGAAAGCGUGGGGAGCAAACAGG
rnacentral:rRNA from 1 species